rnacentral:lncRNA from 1 species
GGAGGCCGGAGAGGCGUUUGCGGCCCAGCGCCUGGACUGGACCUUGGCGUUGGGCCGCAGUUGCCCGGAGUUUUUGGGGCCCCCGGGAACCCGCGCGCCGAGGCCGGCUAAGUUUGGCAGACUCUCUGAGCUCUCGGAAUUCGACUGCCUCCAUUGUUGCUCCUUCUGGCACCCACAGACCACAUCUCUUCAGUGGACCCCCUGAUAGGCCGGUUUGCUCCAGAAGAGACGGGGUUUCACCAUGUUGGCCAUGAUGGUCUCGAUUUCUGACCUUGUCAUCCGUCCGCCUUGGCCUCCCAAAGUGCUGGGAUUACGGGCGUGAGCCACCGUACCCAGCCUGCUUCCUGUUUUAACAGACGAAGAAAUGGAAUAACUUCCAACAACACAGGUUGGAGCUGAAGGAGUGCCCAGGCUGCGGAUGGAGGAAGGACGUGCUCGGGAGAAGGUGAAGAUGGGAGAGAAGCAAGAUCUUCUGUGUUUGGACCAAGGACACAUUUCCUUACUCCAUAGCAGCUGUGCAUGGAAUAUGGAUGUGUGGUCUGGAUGUACAGACACCAUUUUGGACCAUAAAGACAAGGACGAUUGUCUAAGGAUGACACAGCCAGAGCACUGAGAGUGGCGAGAAGGACAGGGGAGCUGCUGUGCCAAGCAGGACUGUCUCUCUUAAGAGAAAAAUAAAAUUUAUUGGUGUUUAAACCAUU